ACAGAACUAGACAUGCUAUGCGGCACGCACUAUAUGGUCAAGCAAUGAAGCACGAUGAAGGGAAUGGAUCAGAUGUACCAAGGAACCAACAGUUAGAACAGAUCAGUUGAGGAUCCGAUGCAUCCAGUAACAAGCAGUUAGAAGAGAUAGGAAAUUUGAAGAAGGCAACAGAGGAGGCUGAUGGUUUUGGUCUAUCUAUAACUCCUGUUCUUUACCAUGAUUAAAUGGCUGUAAUCUCUUAUUUGGGUGUAAUUUGUACCUUACAUGUUCAGGAUGAUGUGUUGUAAAUGUUUUGAUGGUGAUUAAAAAUGGUUUGUGCCAAUGAAAAUAGGCCUGCAAAAAGUUAUGUUUUA